rnacentral:rRNA from 1 species
UACGUAGGUGACAAGCGUUGUCCGGAUUUACUGGGCGUAAAGAGCGCGCAGGCGGUCGAUCAAGUCGAGUGUGAAAGCCCCCGGCUCAACUGGGGAGGGUCACGCGAUACUGCUCGACUUGAAGGCAGGAGAGGGAAGUGGAAUUCCCGGUGUAGUGGUGAAAAUGCGUAGAUAUCGGGAGGAACACCAGUGGCGAAGGCGACUUCCUGGCCUGUUCUUGACGCUGAGGCGCGAAAGCUAGGGUAGCAAACGGG